AAAAACUGAUGUAAUAUUAAUCCACCCAAAAGAAUUAUUUCAAGAAAUGUUUUAAAAGAGUGACUAUAUGAGCAUAAAUGGAGAGAAUAUGCAUACAUGUGUAUAUACACACAUAUUCAUAUACAAAGAGUAUACAUAUUUUAUAGAAUAAAUACUUAUUUAAAGGAGAUGAAUAAAGGUGAAAAGGAAAAACAGACUUAUGUAUAAAACAGAAGAGGGAAUAUAAGGAGUAUAAUAUAACGAAAUCUCCAUAUUGCAUCUUUAUCACCCACCAAACAGAAAAUUAUAUAUUUAAAAAAAGAGAAUAUAUACUUGUUGAACUACUUUCAAGAUUCCUUUACUCAAAGUUAAAGACUAUGGCUGCGAUAAACAAGCAGGUCAUUAUUUAUCUAAAUCUGUCUAGACCUAGCAAUGUAGUUUGUCAUUAUAUGUCUCUAAAUUCGUUAUCAUUUGCAAAGGUCUGAAACCUUGUCACUGAAACUACUUUCGUGAGAUUUAAUAGAACAUUUUAAGGGUUUUUUUUGUUUGUUUUUUUAAAUAAUAGGACUGAACUGACUGUUGAAUGAUUGGCUAUUAGUGGUAUUACUUUUGGUAAUCCAUAGGUAUAGCAACCAUGCUCACCUACAAAUCAAUUUUAAAAUAUAAUUUAUAUUUUUUGAAUAAGCCAUAAAACACUAAAGACAAUGUAUUACACAAGACUUUGGGUACUUCAUGUAGCUGAAGGCAUUUGGCUUUCAGCUUUUUACUUCAAAAUAUGUUUGAGAGAGUACAACUAAUCCUAGUCCAGAGUUGUGUUGCUUAGGAAUGUCUUGUCCUGCAGCUCUCACAGGAAAAAACAAAUACUUUAGUUCCAAUCACGUUAUCUGCUUCUUGCACAUACAAUUUUAAAUUCCUGUUCUGUCAUUUGGAGUGCUCUGUAUUGUAAUCCCCUCAAUUUUUGUUGUUCCCAUUUUUGUGGAGGCAUAUUGUUCUCUAAUUACUUCUAACUCCUGUCUGCACUUUUUAUUUGCUCAGUUUUUCCUUUGACUUCUUCACUGCCACCUCUUCAUAGGUUUCUGUUUGAGCAGAAUAUUUUUGCAAGUUUAUAUUACCACAUUUACUCUUCCUGUCACUUUUGAAUACCUAGACCUUAGUAGAAAGAAACUGCACUUUGUUCCAUAAAUGUUCCUCAAACAUCUUCCACCUGUAUUCAGUAUAUAUCCAGACUCUAUUUCACAUUCCUUCAAAUUCCCUUUCUGCCCUCAGUCCAUUAAUUUUGUAAUACAACUUUUAAAUGAAACAAAUGUUUCUAGGCACAUGAAGACUAAAAGAAUUAAUAAGCUUCAGAUAUCCUCUAAUUUUCAUUGGUCUAAUGUUAACAUUGAAACCAUUCUGAUUUUUAUUAAAUCUGUAACUUCUUUUUAUUGUAUGUAUAGCAUGAAUAUUUGCUGCUUGAAAAACUAAAAGACAUUUAGAGCAUACACUAAAUGCCUCAGGACACUCCAUAUUACAUAAUUCACUUAGUAAGCACCAUGAAAUUCUCAGCCUUUAUUUUCUUUAAAAUAAAGAAUAUAUCAUUAUUUUGGUGCAUUAUAAUUCUCUUUUAUCUCAAAUACAACCACUGAAUAAAAUCAUUAAUGAUUCAUCAACAAACUAUUUAGGUUCAAAAUUAAUCCAUCCAAAUUGGUUUUUUUUCUGUCAAAAAGAAAAACAGAUUUAAAUUGCUAUCUAAAUAAAUAAAGGAAAUAAAAGCAUUGGAAAAAAAUAGAUUUUUCUUUCUUUGUGCCAGUACUUAUAAAAUGGUUAGGUAGGACAGGUGGAGUAUAAGUGAGCAAACUGCUUAAAUCCAAACAACUAUAAUUUGACCUCAGCUCAAAGGACAAAAAUUACACAAUCUGGAGGGGAUAAAAGUUAACACUGUAGUAAAAUUGUCAAGCAAUUUCUAAACUCAAUCAAUUAACUUCAUAAUAUUCUCAGAACAAAAUGUUCUUUAAGAGCAGAUCUGAUAUGAAGAGCCAAUAAUGGGAAAACAUUCGUCACCAAUUUACUUCAGUCACCCAUAAAGUAUUACAAGAACAUUAUAUAUCAGGGUUCAAGCCAGCAGACUAUUAAAGUGCACUGCCCUGGUGUCUUUUCAUUAUACUUGAAUGCUAUUGAAGCAUUCAUAAGUCCUUUGAGAAUUGUAGUUAUGUAGUUAUACUUAUCAUAUAAUCAAUUUUUCAAAUAUUCCAAGUCUUUUAAGAUGGGCUCUGUUUCUUUUCUGCUUCUUGUUGGUCAUUGUCAUUCCACCUUCACAAAUGCUACCACCUUCACAAAUGCUACCAUCACAUUUUGUUUGUCUGGUCCUAGUUUGCUUUCAUCUUGGAAACAUAUCAAUCUAAAUGGUGCUAAUUGCUGUAGUUAAUGAGUGCCAAGACAUCUAGCACCCUUGGCCCUGUUACCACUUUCUGUGUUUCUGCUCAUGUAGAGAUCAAAGAACAAAGGAUGGAAAGAAUCAUCUUCAAAAAACAAGAUGCCAUAUAUACACCUUUCUUUGCUUUGUUUGUUUGAAACUUUGAGGAUAUAAAUUAUCCUGCUGAAAUCACUUUCCUUUAUAGUCCCUGGUUAAUUUUAACUUGUUAAAAAUGUUCUACCUUAAAACUUUUUCUUAUUUAAAGGAUAGUAAUGGUACUCUGACAGAACAUAAUUAACCCAAUGAUCUCACACUUUUAACUCACUAAUCACCAUUUUCCACUGGUGGAAUACAUUCCAAGCAACUGAGGCAUCAUAAUAUAUUAUAGUAAUGGGAAAUAUUAGAACUUCCUACAAAGUAAGAAGUCUCAGUACCUUUCAUGUGUACAAAUCAGCGAUGCUUCCAUUUGUAAUUGAAACUGUAAGACAAAGAGAAAAAAAUUUCAGGCAUAAACAAGUUUAAAUUUUUAAACAGUCAUUAAAAUAUAAAUCUCUACAUACUAGGUAUUUCUUGCCAGCACAAACUAACCACAAUUUAGUAGCAGUAUCUGAAAGUAAAUAUUCAUAUAUUUGUGUGAUUAUUUAAUAUGAUUAUAUGUGUGAGUGUGUGUGUAUCAAUCAGUCUGGAAGACCCACGAGCCAUGCUUCAUUUAAUCAUCACGGUACUUCCAAAUUCCAGCACAAUGCCUAUAACAUAUAUUCUCAAUAUAUAUUUGUUGAAAAUUAUAAUAUGGUGAUAACACAAAUGCAACAGUACACAAUGGAAGAUUUUAAAAUCCUUGAUAAAAGAAAUCCUGAGAAAACAUUAGUGACAACCUACUUCCUCAACAAGCAGUUCUAUGUACAACUCUCUGUGACAGCUUAUUGUCAUCUUUUUCUUGGCCUACUGCAAUAAAGAUUGCCAUCUUCAACUAUUAAUUUAUACCAUAAAGUUUUCUUAAGCAUAAUUAUCAGCAAGUCAGUCCAAAAUAACUUUAUCAACCCUGUCAUAUAGUAAUGAAACAGUGUUUCUUUAUUUGUGCACACACCAUACGUUAUUUUCACUUCAUGCUGCAUAUCAUAAUUAGCACAUUUAGAAUGCCUUAUAUUAUGUUCCUU